rnacentral:rRNA from 1 species
AUUGAACGCUGGCGGCAGGCCUAACACAUGCAAGUCGAGCGAGCGGCGGACGGGUGAGUACUGUCUGGGAAACUGCCUGAUGGAGGGGGAUAACUACUGGAACCGGUCGCUAAUCCCGCAUACCAUCGGAUGUUCCCCGAUGGGAUUAGCUAGUAGGUGGGGUAAAGGCUCACCUAGGCGGCGAUCCCUAGCUGGUCUGAGCGGAUGACCAGCCAAACGGGAACUGAGACACGGUCCAGACUCCUACGGGAGGCAGCAGUGGGGAAUAGUGCACAAUGGGCGCAAGCCGGAUGCAGCAAUGCCGCGUGUAUGAAGAAGGCCUUCGGGUUGUAAAGUACUUUCAGCGGGGAGGAGUUACCCGCAGAAGAAGCACCGGCUAACUCCGUGCCAGCAGCCGCGGUAAUUC